AAACCACUGUUCCUUUCUCUGUUCUUCUUCUCAGCCAUUUCCACGAACAGGUGCACUGGAGUUGUUGUUGCCUCUCUCUCACCUAGCACCGCUUCUCGAUCUCGAACUGGGCACAAGAUAGGGGAUGUAGCACAAACACCACAUGCAACACGGCGGCCUCUGGCGUGAGCUAGUGCAAGCAGCCAGCAGACUCGCAAGAUGGCUGCCAGGAUGCGAGGUAGCGAGGCGCCGGGCGACGCCGCCCACGCGGGCCGGAACGAUGGCGUGGUUGUGGUCCUCCAUGCCGCCGCAGUGUUCAAACUUCGCCCCCACGACUGGCUAUGGCACUGCUGCGUGCUAUAGGGCUAUUCCCAUAGCCACAGUGACCAGCGAUGAGAAGGACGGAUAGCGGAUGAACAACGAUUCUCUAGCUUUAGCGUCUCCUUGGUUGCCGGUAAAAUUUAGCGUUCCUUUUACCGGACAUUGUUGGACGGCUAGAGGAGGCCAACAUCCGUUAUAUUUACCGGACAUGAAGCUUUAGCGGUCCUUGUUGGACACAUCCUUAGUAGCUACUACCAAAUUUUCAGGGUUCAUAGAUAAUAAUUUGUGAGUGUUCACAGGGAGAAUUUCCAUUAUCGAUUAAAUUGUGUUUGCCAUGAAGCUUCAAA